CACCGUCUUUGCUCUUUACUCUUCAACCUACUAAAUACUCCACCGCCUCAUCCAGCAUUUCUACCUAUUUCUGCUUCUCCACCUUGCAUUUUUUAGAGGUUUUCGCAUUGUAGUAUCUAUUUCUGCUUCUCCACCUUACAGUUUUUUAGAGAUUUCCUCGUUGUAGGUUUUUAGAGCAAUUACUCACCCUCACUGGAGUAUAUAUAGUUUAUAUAAGUGGGAGUAUAUGUAUAAACUCAUAUUGAAGCCUGUGGAGUGUACUCUUAACCCAGACAAGGUUUUAUGGAGGGAGGGGGUGCAGAUUCUCUUUAUAUUUAGAAAAAGAAAACAAAACAUCAUAGCAUCUUCUGAUAUUAAUGAAGUUAUAUACUAAUUUAUGAGUA